GCACCGCUGAGGGGUCCCACAACAGGACGAAACGGCCGUCCAGUGC
rfam:Schistosoma margrebowiei strain Zambia genome assembly, scaffold: SMRZ_scaffold0003534